CUUAUUUCUAAACAUAGUAUUCUGUAAAAGGACUACAGGAAUGAGCCAGGAGAGGCAGCUCGUGCAGAUCUCACCAGAAGGGAGAUUCCAGCUGCACUGCACGGAGACCCCUGAGCAGAGGGUAACCGAGGGUGGGGAGAGCAUGCCUUCACUUUGUUGUGGGGAUAGCAGUGACCAGCAUUCUCGGUUAAGACUGAUGCCGCGGGAUGAGGAUGCAUGCAUACUGGACCAAAAGCAAAACACAGGGACUGAUUUCUAAACAACAAAGCAGCUGGAACAGAAGCUAAGAGCAGAAAUCGUAACUUUGCAGGGCUUCUAUUUGGCCGCUGUGGUUCUCACGGAGAGCUUUCUUAUCUGUGGAGACAGCUUUCUGGCUUCUGAAAUCUUGGCGAUGACUAGAGAAGGAAGGAGUGAGAUUGAUGAUGGUAAAAGCUUGUAUCAGAAAGAGCUAAGGGGUUGAGCACUAAACAUUGUCUUGGAAGCCUGCACGGAUGUUGAAAGGUGAAUGCAGAGUCAGAAGGCAGAGUGUGGAACUUCUAUUUUUCAGAAUGCGGAACUUUUAAGCGAUCCGUUUCUUUACUGACAGCGUGAUGAGACCAGGACACGUUAUAGAACUUGUGGGAAAAGAAUCAACCGUAAGUCCCUAUGAACAUUAAGCUGAAGGAGGAAUAAGAAUGUCAUAAUGACCCCAUGAUUACACGUAGAGGUCAUUUUUACUUAUGUUUGGCACCUUCACUCCAGGCUGGCUUUAGAGGACCAAGUAUUAUCCCCAUUGCGGAAGUGAAGGAAAUGGGCCCCAAUUUCCAAGGUUCUGAAGCUGAUGAGUGGAAGAGUCUGGAUCAGUGCUGAAGGUUAAUGAGUUCAUCUCUGAGAAGUGUUGCUGUUCCAAGGCCUUUAGCAUUCUAAGUGCUGUCUCAUUUGCAAGAAGGCAGGGACCUCUCACGAGCCAAGUACUUCAUAGUUAGGGAUGAGUUUUAAAAACUGCAAAGGGAAAGGAAUAAUUACAAAGGCAAAUUCUGGAUGCAUGAUGUUGGCUGGAUAUUCUUUGGCAAGAAGAACCAGAAGCAGUUUGCAACAGAACUGAUAAGGAAAUGAAGUACCUUGGACUGGGAACUGAGACCACUUCCUUAUAAUGGUACAGCUACAAAACAGAAAGUGUUCAGGCCUGUGAAGAUUUGGAAGUGCAGAACCACCAUACAGGUUGGGCUACUAGUGGACAAGGAGUUCUUGGGCCUGUAGAAGUGUAUGGAGAAAGGAAAGUGCCAACUGUGGGAGGACCAGGAAAUAUAGUUUAAGUAAAUUGGCCAGAAACUCAGCUGAAGCUUGCUCUUUCAAGUAAGUAAAUGUAUUAACUUCAGUCUCUCUCUAACUUUGCAGCUGUUUAUUAUUCUUAUAUCAAACAUACUGGUCAAAUUUGAAGUAGGAAAUUUGCAAUAAAUACCUUCAACUUUUUUUAACUCCUAAAUUUUGUGAUCACACAAAAAAAGAGUGUGUUUGCAUCUAAUCCAUUGUGUCUGUGCCCCUGAACACAUCUCUCCUUUGGGUAGGAGAAUGGAGGGCUGUCAUUGGAUUGGCCAAAGUCGUGUUCCUGUAACCUGUGCAGUUGGGUAGAAUGGAGGUUAGAGUAAAAUUUCAGUCAAGAAAGGGAAUGACAGCAGACUGGAGAAUGAAAGGAAGAUAUGCUGUGCAGAAAAAAAUAAUUUUCCUCUUAUGUUAAGUCACUUAAAGCUUAUCUACAUGUAAACAAGUCAUUUCUCUCUAAACUCUUUUCAUCCAUAAGGAGAGUAAUAAUUUUCCUUGUAAGGUGAUUGUUGAGGGACAAAUGAAAUGCUAUAUUAGAAAGAAAAACCUUUGUAAACUUUACAGUCCUGCAGAAACAUUAAUUCUUACUAGGGUCUUUGAAAACCUGUUGUUUCUCUACUAGUCUUGCUCUACAUUGACAUAUUUUAGCUUCAUUCUUGGCAUCCAAUGCUUGCAAGUCAUGCUUUAUACUAAACUAAUUGAAAUGUAUGUAUUACCCUAGACUAUGCAUGCUUUAUAUUCUUCAGCCUGAAGAGAAGCAAACAUGAGAGUUAAAAAAAAAAAGAAAUCCAAGAUAUGGUUAUUUAUAUCUCAUGUCUGCCAAAUUCUCCACCAAUGUACAGCUUAAUUUCAGGUUUACCUUAAAAUGUCUCUGCUACAAGGUAAAAGCUGGGUGACAGCCUGUGGAUAAAAAUAAAUACAUGGUUUAUACAAAGGCAAAUAUAAUAAAGGAAACCAAAGCUCAGGAAGAUGCGGGUGAAAACUGAGUUGUGAUCAGUUUGUACAUUUUAAGGUAAGUGAGAACUUUGCUGAAGGUUAUGAAUCAAGGGGAGAAAGCAGUGCUUCUCUAAAUAAUUAAAGCUUCACAUUGUAUCUUCUUGUAAUGCUCUAGCUAAUCAAAGUGGAGUUUGCGUGCUUGACCUUAAAGUCAAGAAGGAAAUCUUGAAUUUCUUCAGCUUCCUGCUUCGGCUGAGGAAUUCUAAAACAUAGCUAUGAGAAUGCCAUUUUUAGAGAACGUCGCUAGUGAUGAAUUAUGUUCUCUGGUUUGGUAACCUUGACAAACUGGUACCCUCUCUUAGGAAGUUGUGUAUGUCAUCACUGCUUUCUAGACACCUUAGUGUCAUUAAUAGUAGUUAGUGGAAAGACUAAAGAACUGGAGGCAGAAAAAUGAGCUAAUACUGUGGCUUAGGAUAAGGAGCACUACAUUCCCAAUCUCGAGUUAAUACAAUUUUUUCAGGAAUGUAUUUUUGCAGUUGGGGGUCAUCAAAUUAGGAUCCAGGGAAAAUCUACCCAUUGUAUUUGAUUAACAUAUCUCACAAAUCUCUUUAAUCUACAACUACACACCACCUCCUAUCCUUUUCUUUUUCUCUGCUAUAUAUUUGUCAAGGAUGCUGGGUCAUUUGGUCUGCAGAAUUUCCUGUGUACCAGAUUUGACUAAUUACACUGUGUAGCAUUUUAAAAACAUGUCUCUUUACCCUUCCAAUUUACUGGAAAACUGUUAGAUGAAUGUAGAGGCUUGAUUAUUUUCUUUUGGCAUAUAUGAUGCAAGUUUAAUUUGGAGAUGGAAGCAGGCACUAACUAUAUCAUUGCCUUAGGGGACAUGUGAUGGCCAGUUAUCAAUCACAUUGGUAGGACAAACAAUGACCCCACUUUCCAAAUAAGUUCAAGCUGUUUGGAUAUCCAGGAUCUAUGAAUAUGUUAUGCAACAUGGCAAAAUAGACUCUGUAGAUGUAAUUCAGGCUACGGAUCUGAAAACAGGGAGAAAGCCAAUAUUACCCAGGAGGAUCCAAUAUAAUUCCAUGAACCUUUAAAGACAGAGAAACUUUUCGGCUGCAUUCAGAAGCAUAAGAACAAUAUGGUGGGGAGGAUGGGGUAAGUCAGAGAGAGGGCAAGUUUGAGGAAGCUUUGCUAUGCCAUAACUGGCCUGAGAUGGAUGGGCACAUGUGUGAGCACCCAAAGAGGCCUCCAGAGGUCUAGGGCACCACUCCGCUGACAGCCAGCAAAGAAACGGGAUCUCAAUGCAAGCACUGUAAGAAACUCCAUUUGGCUAACAACCUGAAUGAGUUGGAAGCGGAUUUUCCCCAGAGCGUAACAGUGAGAGCCCAGGUCAGCUGACAUCUUCUUUCCAAAACCAGGAGCUGAGAAACCAGUCAACCUAAAACUGACUUUCCACCUACAGAACUGUGAGUAAUGAAUUUAUGUUGUUUUAGGCUGCUAGAUUUGUAAUACUUGUCAGAGAAGCAAUAGAAAGGUAAUACAAGAAGAUGUUGGUAUUGUCAGCCUGAUUCAUUUAUUAAGAAGUUCCCCAUCCACCUUCCACCUGAAGGGUUCAGGAGCUGUUGAUCCUUGUGGCUUACAUUUGCUGUUGUGUUUAGAGAGUCACCAAAUGGGGCUUUUUGCAGUUCUAUCAUUCCUUCUGUGUUUAUUAUUUGAUAUUCUUCUGUAAAGAAGAACUUUUUCUUUUCAAUCAAAGUAAGCUUUGUACAUAAAAAGGUGGAUAAAUGUGUUUUUUUCUCUUUAUUUAUUAGUCUUAGAAUACUGAGAAGGUUGUUUUGAUGCUAUUCCAGGUGGCCAAUUUUUGAUAUAUUAAGAUUUCAUGGAUUGUUGUAUAUUUAUGUGUUUCAACUAUAGUAUUGCCAUUCAUUUAUAUUGGGUGCUUAACUGGUCUACAUUGGUGGCCUUGGAAAGUGCCUCAAGUUGUUCCCUUGAAUUUUGUCAAGACCUCACUUUCUUAUGGUAAUGUUUUAAUUCAAAUGUUCCAGUAGAUAGUUAACGUUUUAUUUUUGUGCUUGAAUUGUUUUGUUAAAAAAUUUUGGUUUUAUCAUUAAUUCUCAUAGUACAACUCAUUAAGGACAGAUGUCCAACAUGGGGAAUAAGUGACAGUGACUGCUGCUGUUGAUUUAACAAGUAACACUCUUAUUUUUGACGUCAGUGACUACCUGAGGCUAUUGUUAUGGGCUUCCAAGGCUAUGGAAGCCUCUUGAGUCCACAAACUCUGUCAAUAUUUAGAAAGGGCCAUAAAGUGGAGCAGCCGGGACUCGAACUGGUGCCCACAUGGGAUCCCAGCACUACAGGUGGUGGCUUUGCUGGCUACGCCACAGCACUGGCCCCUCUUCCAAUUUUCUGUCUCUGGAUCAAACAAACCCAGGUCCCUUUUUGGUUGGGCCUAUUUUCUUUUCUUUUCUUUUUUUUUUUUUUAAGAUUUAUUUAUUUGAAAGAGUUACACAGAGAGAGGAGAAGCAGAGAGAGAGAGAGAGAGAGAGAGAGAGGUCUUCCAUCUGAUGGUUCACUCCCCAAAUGCCGGAGCUGUGCCGAUCUGAUGCCAGGAUCCAGGAGCUUCUUCCGGGUCUCCCACGUGGGUGCAGGGGCCCAAGGACUUGGGCCAUCUUCUACUGCCUUCCUGGGCCAUAGCAGAAAGCUGGACAGGAAGUGGAGCAGCCGGGUCUUGAACUGGUGCCCAUAUGGGAUGCUGGCACUUCAGGCCAGGGCGUUAACCCACUGUGGCACAGCGCUGAGGUUGGGCCUAUUUUCAACACUAAACAUCAACACUUAUGAGAUUUUUCUAAGUUCUGUAGCAAAGCCCCUCGUGGAGGCUCGUCAGCUCCUCGGGUCUGCUAGUGUUUAGCUGAGUGAUGGUCCUACCUCUUGGCAUUUCCUUUUUUUUAAUUCUUCUCUCACUCGUGAAAAGUAUCCAUUUGCCCGUGGGCAGGGCACUCCUGCUCCUCAUGUGGGUCCCGAGAGAGCAGACUAUGUUUGCUUCUCCUGGAGAUACCCCAACUACGAGCUCCAUUCACAAGUUCAGUCGGUGCCUCCAGUGCUUUAUCCUUCCCCAUGGCCUCUGGGGUCCCUGACACGGCUUUGCUGUGCAAUUUUCAGUUCAGUCCAGUCCUCUGUGCUGUGCCCAGGGUUAGAUGCAGUCAGUGUGGUCCUCCCUGCCUGCAGGGGUGUUUGGAAUGAUCAUGUUUCCGAGUGCCUGUGCAUGUACUUGGGGGUGCACUGAAGCGCCUUGACGGGACGAGCACCGUUAGGUGGUACAAGGCACUGUGACCUGGGGCGGCACUGACAGCUGUCAGGAGGGCUCGAGAGGAAGCAGAGCAGCUUUCGUCCAGGUCUUUAGACACGAGGGUUUUAUGUGUUAUUAGGUGUUUCGUGUUCCUAAAAACACCUUCUACUUUUUAAAAAAUGAUGUAUAUUUUAUUCUGGUAAUUAUAUGAAGUGUCUGAGCAGCAUACUGUAAACCAUAUAAUUUUGUAUUGGAUCAGAAUGGAAACUCAUGGGAUAUGGUAUAUCUGAUCAUUUCCACGAAAAAUCUCUGGGAUAAUAAAAAAAUUCUUUCCAAAAAAAAAAAAAGGGCCAUAGUCAAAGUGGAAGUUCUCUCCUACCUUCAGAGAAAAGUACAUCCUUCUUUGAUAGCCCCUUCUUUCCACUGGGGUCUCACUCACAGAGAUCCUUCAUGUAGGUCUCGGCUUUUUAUGCCUGGAAUGCUUUCCUGGACUUUUCAGCCAGAUCCAAAUGCCUUAAGGGCUGAUUCUGAGGUCAGAGUGUUAUUUAGGGCAUUUGUCAUUCUAUGAGUCUGCUGUGUGGCCUGCUUCAAGGGGUUAGUUUUUGUUUUACUUUUGUUUUCAAAUAUGUGAAU